GUACUUGCUUCAGCAACACAUGUACUAAAAUUGGAAGGAUACAGAGAAGAUUAGCAUGGCCCCUGAACAAGGAUGACACGCAAAUUCAUGAAGUGUUCCUUAUUUUU
ensembl:snRNA U6 U6 spliceosomal RNA